rnacentral:rRNA from 1 species
CCUACGGGCGGCAGCAGUGGGGAAUAUUGCACAAUGGGCGCGAGCCUGAUGCAGCCAUGCCGCGUGUGUGAAGAAGGCCUUCGGGUUGUAAAGCACUUUCAGCGGGGAGGAAGGCGGUGAGGUUAAUAACCUCAUCGAUUGACGUUACCCGCAGAAGAAGCACCGGCUAACUCCGUGCCAGCAGCCGCGGUAAUACGGAGGGUGCAAGCGUUAAUCGGAAUUACUGGGCGUAAAGCGCACGCAGGCGGUCUGUCAAGUCGGAUGUGAAAUCCCCGGGCUCAACCUGGGAACUGCAUUCGAAACUGGCAGGCUAGAGUCUUGUAGAGGGGGGUAGAAUUCCAGGUGUAGCGGUGAAAUGCGUAGAGAUCUGGAGGAAUACCGGUGGCGAAGGCGGCCCCCUGGACAAAGACUGACGCUCAGGUGCGAAAGCGUGGGGAGCAAACAGGAUUAGAUACCCGGGUAGUC